UUGCCCAUUUAAGACCUAUCUUGUCUUAAAUGAUUAACACAGGGGGGUAGAGGAAUUCUUUCAAAAACCUGAAGUGAAAGCUAAAAUUUCCUAACUUCGGAUCCUGUCGGAAGAAACAAAC